CCUUUGACGUUAGCGGCGGACGGGUGAGUAACACGUGGGUAACCUACCUAUAAGACUGGGAUAACUUCGGGAAACCGGAGCUAACACCGGAUAAUAUUUCGAACCGCAUGGUUCGAUAGUGAAAGGUGGUUUUGCUAUCACUUAUAGAUGGACCCGCGCCGUAUUAGCUAGUUGGUAAGGUAACGGCUUACCAAGGCGACGAUACGUAGCCGACCUGAGAGGGUGAUCGGCCACACUGGAACUGAGACACGGUCCAGACUCCUACGGGAGGCAGCAGCA
rnacentral:rRNA from 1 species